rnacentral:rRNA from 1 species
GUCUAUGGCCAUGCUACCCUGAGCAAGCCUGAUCCCGUCUGAUCUUGCAGGCUAAGCAGGGUCGGGCCUGGUUAGUACUUGGAUGGGAGACCACUUAAGAAGACCAGGUGCUGUAGGUG